rnacentral:tRNA from 1 species
GCAGUCGUAGCCUACUGGUUAGGGCUUCGGGCUAGGAACUGAAGGGUUGCCGGUUCAAUCCCUGACCAGUGGG